GUUGAAUUUUGUCAUUUAAUAAUUAUCGAUUAUCUGCUAAACAUAGUAACUACCUAGUAAUCGGAUUCAUUGUCAAAAUUGCAGUUGAAAAAAUCAAUAAGCGCAAAAAAAAGGGUUUAUUCAAUUUACGCAAAGUUUCAGAAAAUUAUUUUCUGUCGACUUGAGGGAUUAAACGUUUGUAAUUUUUUACCAACAUUUACAAGAUACAACAUAUUACGAAUUUUAUUGAUAAUGUCAAUGUAUUGAUAAUGAGCUGCCAACAGUGAACAUCCUUUACUUAAAAUGUCGCUCCAGAAAUAUUGAAACUAUAUUAGAGGUCACAGUGAAAUAUUAAAAGUGAAUCGAUAGACUGAUAACCUUUAGUGGGUAUGAAUUAUUUGAAGACUCCAAGCGAUUAAUUGGGGCAAGGACUGUCAUCGACACAGCGAUGCAGGGCGGUCGAUGGCGACAGUGGAAGGCUACAACGCUUCAAGGAAGGAAACUUAGUGUGAUUUUUUAUGCCUUCUAUUUUCAUUAUUAAAUUGAUUGACUCUUUCGCAUUAUUGUGGAAAAAGAAUACGUUUUUUAUUCUAAUACUAGCUGACUCGGCAGAGUUCGUAGUGCCUCAAUGGAUAAAUAAAAGAAUUUCUAUAAAAUAAACUUAAAACAAAAAAAAAAGAAAAACAAAA